rnacentral:tRNA from 1 species
GCCUUCGUGGUGUAAUGGUAGCACAUUCGGCUCACAUUCGAGAGGCCCAGGCUCGAGUCUCGGCAAGGGCA